CCUUUGCUACUCUAGUCUCAUCUCUUGAAAAUCGGACCUUGUCGCUUGAACCUCAGCCUCUAUCCUUGUACGCCAUUCCUGGUCAUCUUGAACCACCGGGUGUGGUUGAUGUUCCACUUGGUCAGCAGCCGCUGCGUCGUCUUCAAGAUGCUGCUCUUCUGCAACUUCUGGAUCUAAAUCAGAAUAAAUCCAAUUUGCUGGAUUGGAUGUGUC
rnacentral:lncRNA from 1 species